CUUAUAUCUAAAUAGAAGCAGUUAUUCAUUUUUCUCACUGUUACCACUUUGUUUCAUAUUUUUUUAUUAUUAUAAAAUUUCGAAUUUAUACGGAAAAGAAAGAAAAAAAAUCAGUUGAGAUUCAUAAGAAGACAAGGAAGAGAGAAGAAGCUCUGUUUCGUGAGCAUUUCAUUUCGCCUUUGUCAUCUAAUUCAAUUCCAUCUCUGCAUUUCCUUCGGAACCUUCCCAAGAUCGAAAAAGUUAUAGGUUUCUGAGCAUUCUAUCUCAUGGAGCUGCGGCGAAGACGAUCUUCCAGGGAGGUAGAUGGACGUUAGAUCAUAAGCUUUCGCCUCCGAAGCUUCGAUUACAAGUCUGGUUCGCCGCCGGUAAGCUUUGGCAUACCCGGAUUUUAACUGGUUUAACCAAUCACACUUCCAGAUUCUCAUCUCCCAUGGAACCAGUUCCAUACCCGCCUCCUCUUCCUCCUACGAGAAAUUAUACCAGCAAUGGUAUUCUGCUUGUAUCGUGUAAUGGUGGACUGAAUCAAAUGUGAUCCGUGGUUUGUCCCUUGCUCUUAUGACCUAUUUUUCAGAUUUUGAUGUUUUUCUUAAUCUUCUGACGCAUUUAUUUUUUACAUUUGUGACAUGGUGGCUGUUGAUCGGCUAUUAAACCUCAGCUCCUGAGCUAGACAAAACAUAUUUUUGGGCUGAUCCUAGACAUUUCAUUGAUCAUUAAGAGAUGAAGUUUGGAACUUUAUGAGGCUUCCGAAACGGUUUAGCACCAAGUAUGGUUACCAAAUGUUCCAAAUGCCUCAUGUCAGCUGGUCUGAUGAUAACUAUUACUUGAAGCAGGUUCCACUGGCCAACAAUCGUGAGGCUGAAGAAGUCCCUGAGUGUGACGGGACCGACAAUACAUAUGGAGAAGACAUGGUUCCAGGGCCAACGAUCGUGAGACUGAAAAAAGUCCCUGAGGGUGACGGAACUGACAAUACAGGUGGAGAAGACAUGGUCCAGCGAAAUAAAUUCUAGACCUGGGCAUUUUACCCGAACAUUCAUUUGUUAUAAAUGUUGGUGACUCAUCUCUUGAUAGCAGAGAGUUGACUGCAAUUGUCGAAAUGUUUUCACAUUUACCUGCCAAGUGUUUGCUAGGUAUGAAGACACUCAGCAUUGAGAGACCCCAUACUGUUCCACUCCUCUGCUAGUUUGAUUCUGGUAUCACCAUUAUGCUUCUAAUUCAAGCUCACAUUGUAGAGGGGGCUGAUGUCUGCAAAUGCAUUACUCCGGAUGUCCUUGACGUUGAGGUGGAAAGAAUGGCAGUCAUGAUCUAUGAAGAUAACCUUGGAGUCCUCUGAUUUGAGUGACCUAAUCUUUGUGUACUUUCUGUUUUUUUUUUUGUUUUGAGUUGUUGUAGGGGACCACCCUCUCAUGGGUCGGUUAUUUGCAUAAAACUUUGGUACUGAUUUCUCUAUGUGUAAUAACGCAUCCUCGUUCUCCCUUAUGAACUUCCUUUUUGUAGCAA